ensembl:lncRNA
CAACUCGGGGCUGCUGAGCAGGUCUCUUCUAAAAUCGUUUAUUCUCCAGGAGCAUUUUAGCAAUUGCUAUAAUUUAUUCAGCUAUAGAACACAAAGUAAUGCCAUCUUCUGCAGAGCGCUCCCCUUUUGUUUUUUAUCCUUUGAUGUUUUUGGGUUUUUCCUUUUAUUCAACAGAAGCAGAACUGGGCCAGUUUCAGUUAUUUAUGAGCCACCUUCAUUCGUGAUAAAUAACCAUAAUAUGUAUUUAUGCAGUGCCUGCCAAGGCCCUUCUGCUCCUAUUGACUCAUGAGUCACUAAAAUACUUUUCUAUGGUAGAAGUGGACAAGGGCUAUUCAAGAUAGGAGAUAAUACAACUUCUGGGCUGGCAGCUGUCUAGUAAUUUUUCAGCGGUGCUUUGCAGAUUGAUGUUGAGUCAAGAAAGACCUAGAGCCUGACUCUCCUCAAACUCUAUGGGAUACCUCUUAGUCCUGUUAGAAAUCUGCAAGGCAUCAGACAUUUGGGUCCCCAAGCAGAUGUGCCAACACCCUCUUCCCCUUCCUUCCACAACAGCAUUCUGACCAGAAAAGAAGAUCCAGCAGCGACAGGAAAGUUCGGGGAGCCUUAAUCCAGGACCGCCAGAUCUCCAUCCUGGGGUACGCAACUAGCGUCUCGCAGAACACCGUCUUAAUAGGCUUUCCUGAAUCUCUUGACCAAAUUGCUCCUAGAACUCUGUGUUCCUCUGAACCUAGAAAAUGGCUUUUCUCAAGAUCACCCAGUACCUCUCCCUAUGUAUCUUUUUGUCAGCCUGGUUUUCUCUGUAUCUGUGUUUCUGGCGUGGUUCUUUCUUGUCUCUCUGCACUAUCCUUGUCUCUCUGCACUAUCCUAGGCCUACUAGUAGACGUUAAUGAAAAAUAUAUGGAGCUGAACCCACCCACAUACUGAGCUCUGAAAGAUUUCAAGAUCUGGCAGAAGAUAACACUUUGAAAAAAAUAUAAAAUAUGUUAUACUGCAAAAGUGGCUAACUCUGCCACAUUUGGCUGUGCAGUCAUGUCUUUCCUUUUCCCGUCUCUGUCCUCGGAGUGGGCUGCCGUGCCGCGCUACAGCUGCCUCCUCCCCCUUGGCUGCCGCCGCCGUUGCCCACCUCCUCGAAACCCCUGACCUCCAAUAGUCAGCUCCUCCCUGGCCAGCAGGACAGGUCUUCCAGGUCUUUUAGAGAAGAUGCCAACUCCAGAAUGAUUGUACCUUUGUUUACAUGUUUUUGUUUCGUUUUGAUUUUUGUUUUCUAAUUAAGACCACGCCCCUCGUUUCCAGAACAUACUGGAACUCUUAGGAUUCGAGGUUGAGGGACUUCAGGUGAGAACUACAGAGAGAGUCUCAUGCUCUGCCUGGAACCUCUUGUCCUCCACGAUUCAGGUUCUCUGGUUGAGUCUGGUCCACUCUGACAGAGUAUCUUUACUCACAGUGAUUUUCUCUUGGGGACUUCAUUGUCUUCCUCUCAAAUUGACUUUUGCUUAUAACACAGUCGGGAGAGAGAGAGAGACUCUGUGUGUGUGUGUGUGUGUGUGUGUGUGUGUGUGUGUGUGUGUGUACCCUUGGAAAACAGAGUUUAAAUUUUCUUUCUGGGGAAUUGGGAAUGUCACUGAUCGUGGUAUUAAGGCACCAAAGUAUGCCUUGACAGUCAAAAGGCACCCCCGCAAAUGAUUGAAGGCUGCUUCACCUGGAGCCCACAGAGGGCUCUGGGGCAGUGCUACUUAUCAAGAGCCUAUCUCAGUUCCGGCCCCAAAUACUGCUACUAUGGUGGUGGUGAUGUACCCUCCUAAUUUCUGCAUUUCAUGGUCCCUGUUCUAUUGGUUCAGAUUCCUAUCCCAAUUCCUAUUAUGUUUCAGCUCCUAGUCAUGUGUGUCUCUGAGAGGAAGAGACUAACAUUAGAUCUGGUAGGACAUGAUACUCUUCAAUCUUGUCACCUUAACUUUCUCCUGGAGCCAUGGAAGGUAGCAGUGGUAUAAUCUGAUCCCUCCUGUCCCCAUCCUGCCCAAUACCUGAUAGCUGUUUUUUCCUAGUUCCAGAACCUGAUUGGACCAAGUUUAAGACCAAGGUAGGGAGUGGGGGGCAGACAGGCAAUGCAAUGCAAUUCAACAUUUAAGAAUACUUCCCACUUAACUUGUCCUUGUCAGUCCCUGGCCAUACAAACAGGCUGUACAAGACACAGGCCCUGACCUCAGUGAGUAAAUGUUUCUAUUGAACUGACCCACUGUGUCUCUGAAUGAGAAUAAAAAUGAAACUGCUGCAGAAAAACCCAGUGCUGCAAAGUGCUAGCAUCAUCAGGCAGGCUGCCUCUGCAGAGCAAUCCAUAAUCUCUGUGACUUCCAGAACCAAAAAAAAAAAAGAGUAAAUUACUUUCUAAAAUUAAGCUUUGCAUUACUUUGGAAACUAACAAAGCAUUCCUUCCCACAGACACUGUUCCCAAAUUAAAUAUUUUGUGCUUAUACAGCUCUUCAAAUGUUGGUGCAUUGAAGAUGGAAAAAUUUCAUAGGUAGGGAAGAGAUGGGGUGCCUAGAAAGGAGAGGGGAGCUCUGUCGGGGGAGGACAGCUGUGGUCAGUAGCAGAGAUCAUGGAAUAGUUGGAAAAGAUUGUGAUCAAGUAAAUAAGUGUGUAAAAUGUUUCUAAAAUUAUUAGGUCUAAAUAAGUGUAGGUUAAGGGGGCCUGUUAUGGUCAAGUAUUUAAAAGCAUCCUCUAAAGUGGAAACCUUGGUCAGUGGCUAUUCCCCACCUGUAAUCAAUAGGAAAUAGAGGGAAUAAAAGUAAACUACCAAGGGGGCAUCUCAAGGUCAAUGUGAGGCCUAUUGUUCAAGAUUUCACAGCAAUUAAACACUAGAAUGGGUCACAGAGAAUGGGUGGGCACUUCCUCUGAGGCAUUUAUUGAAAGAACAGAACUUGCUUGUUGUCACAUGCUGCAGGUAACAUCCAGCAUAGUAACAGAGGCAUGACCUGGAUGAGCUAACUUCCCAGGUUCUCUUCUAUUAAAUAGAUUGGAAAGUCAAAGAACUCAUACAGCAUUAGAGGACCCCCACAGCAGCUCGAGAGAAAUGGACAGGUGAAAGGCCCAUGGUCCUCACUUGUCCACCUCCCACCAACAUGCCAGGGCCUGCCAUUGAGCUGCCUGUUUCAUUUUGUAAGCUUGUGCUUACAUGUUUGCCUUGCAGACAUGUGAGCUGUCUUGGCAAAUGGUUUUGUAGAAAGCCCUGACUCACAAUAAUUCCAUCUGCAAUAUUUGGACUGGCUUCUAGGACUCUCCCUUUUCCACACAAGCUGUUCCCACCUUAUCUCUGGGUCUCUUCUAGAAGGUCAUCAAUGUUCUGCUGUACAGGGUCAUCUGCUUGCCACACUAUUUCCCAGCUCCUGGAACACAGCACCGUUUUCCAUGGUGGCAGCAGCAGCAGCAGCAGGAAUAUCUUCCUACUCAGCAUGAUUUUCCGGGCCCGAGAUAAGCUCAUAGUCACCAAGAGACACAAGGCCAUGGCCUCAUGGAUCUCACACCCAGUAGCCUGAUCUGAGUUAAAAAAGGCAGACCUACUGUCUCACCUGGG